rnacentral:rRNA from 1 species
AGUGAACGCUGGCGGUAGGCCUAACACAUGCAAGUCGAACGGCAGCACAGUAAGAGCUUGCUCUUACGGGUGGCGAGUGGCGGACGGGUGAGGAAUACAUCGGAAUCUACUUUUUCGUGGGGGAUAACGUAGGGAAACUUACGCUAAUACCGCAUACGACCUACGGGUGAAAGCAGGGGAUCUUCGGACCUUGCGCGAUUGAAUGAGCCGAUGUCGGAUUAGCUAGUUGGCGGGGUAAAGGCCCACCAAGGCGACGAUCCGUAGCUGGUCUGAGAGGAUGGACCGGCACACCGGAACUGAGACACGGUCCAGACUCCUACGGGAGGCAGCAGUGGGGAAUAUUGGACAAUGGGCGCAAGCCUGAUCCAGCCAUACCGCGUGGGUGAAGAAGGCCUUCGGGUUGUAAAGCCCUUUUGUUGGGAAAGAAAAGCAGCAGGUUAAUACCCCGCUGUUCUGACGGUACCCAAAGAAUAAGCACCGGCUAACUUCGUG